GCGUAGCGCAGUCUGGUAGCGCGUUUGCUUCGGGAGCAAAAGGUCGAGGGUUCAAAUCCCUCCGC
rnacentral:tRNA from 2 species